rnacentral:lncRNA from 10 species
GAGAGAGGGAGAGAGAGAACAUGCCACCAUUUGUUGCUCAUUUUCUCAAAGAUUUUUUCAAAGUAUAUAGGUCAUAAUUAUAUUAUCUUUCCUAGAUGAAAUCUAAUUGAGGCAUUAAGUGCUCAUCUGUCUCUGAAAGAAAAUGUUGUUUCCUGGUGAUUUCACUUGAUAUUUUAGCUGUGUAAGAUGGGAAGCAGGAUAAGAAAAAGAAGGAUGAAGGGAGUAAAGACAGAAUUUCUCACUGUAGCAAGAUGGCAGACUAAGAAAUAUUUAACACUAUCACUGUUCCCUGAAGCCUCCUCAGAAGCCGAGCAAAUGCCAGUGCCACGCUUGUACAGCCUGCAGAACUGUCAGCUAAUUCAACCUCUUUCUUUUUUAACUACCCAGUCUCAGGUAUUCGUUUAUAGCCACGCAAAAAUGGCCUAAAACAUCCUUUUCCCUCCUACUGAAUCUGGAUAAACCUAUGACUGUUUUGACCAACAGAAUACAGCAAUAAGGGAAACUGCCAACCUAGAAUUCUAAAGCCUGCCAAAUCAUCAUUCAAGAUUAAGAGCAAAAUCAAGACAACUUUGGUCCUAAAAGAUUGAAAAAUUUAUUACUAACAAAGCAUCUCUGAAUGAACUUCUAAAGGACGUAUUUCAGUACGAAGGAAACUAAACUCAGAAGGAAGAUGUGUGAAACAAUGAGUAAAAACAAAUAGCACUCUGUAACCAUAAGAAAAACUCAAACAAAAAAGCGACUUAGGCAAAAGUAAAUAUCUUUUUAUAUAAAUUCCCAAGGUUCUUCAUUAGCAGGAGCAGUGUGUAUUUCUCUCAUUCAGCCAUGUAUUCACUUAAUGACUACAUAAUGAAUGCCUUCUGUGCCAAGGAAUAUAACUACUCAUUUAUUAACACCAAGUCCUGAAGAUAUGGCAUUCUUUUACUCAAUUUUCAUGAUCAUCACAUACCUUAGUGAAAAAUUAAAAUCAUGAUGUUUCAGUUAAGGAAUCUAAGAUGCUGUGCUUAACAAAAUUGCUGAAGUUACCACAAAUGUAAGUAAAAGACCAGGAUUAAACAAUCCAGGUAGGUUUGAGUCCAAUCCAGUGUUUUUUCCACAGUUUCAAUGUUAGAGUAUUUCAAGGUGAUCAAGGUAUGACUCAAAUGGGGAGCUUUUAAAAUUAUACAUACUUAAACUGCAUCCUUGUGAUACUCUUAUACUAUUAUUAAAAUAUACUUCAUUUCGGCCAGGCACGAUGGCUCAUGCCUGUAAUUCCAGCACUUUUGGAGGCCGAGGCAGGUGGAUCACAUGGUCAGGAGUUCAAGACCAGCCUGGCCAAGAUGGUGAAACCCCGUCUCUACUAAAAAUACAAAAAAUACAAAAUAAAAUAUACCUCUUUUUUAAAAAAGCAAGCAUUUAAAAAUAAUUUACUCUUUAUUAAAGGUGUACUGGCUUGGUGUUGUACAGGUUUUAGAUUUCUUAACCUAGGCACACUAUUUGAAAAUUAUCCAACUAUGCAAACUAGAAUAUUCAUUGCAAUGUCCCAAUUAAGAAUAUAACAUUCUUCUCAACGUAAUUUAAAUAAGCCUUUUAGUUAAGCUCUAAAACUGCAUGAAUAUUGGAAAAUUUUGAAUGCAUUUGCUAAUAUGCUGAUUACAUAAUCAAUGAUACUGAUCAUGUAGUAGGAUAAAUUGCCAUUGACUUUGAACUGCCUUCAAAUUCCCCAAACAUAAAUUACCAUACAUUUUUAAUUUGAACUAACUUUGUUUCUGGAAAAAGCAUCAGAGACUACCAUUUUGUCUAUGUAGUUAUUUGUAAUUCAUUGACAAUUAGUGUUCUUAAUAUAUUAGAUGAAAUCUUUCAGCUGAACAUUUUCCUGCAAAAAAAUAUCUAGGACAGACUUCCGCUUUCCCCACUACACAUUUUGUGCUUAUUCCACACCCGAUAAUCUCCCCUCCACCCCAUUCCUCACAUUUUCUGUCCUAAUAAGUUCUGUCUUGUGUGUGUUCAAACAACACAUCCUAAAAAUUUAUUGCCUGCCAGUGCUGGUUCUGGUAUAUAAUCUGUGACUAAUAUAUUCUUAUAGACAGAAAAGAAGAAAAAAUAAGGAAAAUAUAAUAUUAAUUAUACUAAUGCUAAUGGUAACAAUAAUAGCAGCUAACAUUUAUUUAUACUUACUUUAUUAACAGCUUUAUAACAGUCAUACUGUCAAGGACCUCCAGCUAAAACCACCAAGUAAAUAUCUAUGGUUCAACAAGUUGUAUUUAUUACUCACAGCAAAAGACAUGGUGUGUGGUUUCUCACACCACGAGGAGCCAUGAAAUAUCUCAGUAAUAACCUGUUAAGAGGGAUUUAUGAUAGGAUUUGUGCUUUGGUUGGGUUGUAGCAGAUCCAAAAAAGAAGGGCCUUGCUCUUUGUUAGGAAUGUCAGAGAGUGGGGAUGGUUCUAUGCUUGAGCAUUUCAUCAACUCCUGUGUGUAGGGAAGGUCAAAUAGAGGGAGGCUAAAGCUGUAAUUGGGAAGAAGAAAAAAAAAAAAAACAGCAGCAGUCAGUCACACUAGCUGGGAGAUGGAGUUGUUUGGUAUUUUGUGGCUUGGAUAAUAUUCAUAUUUUGUCAGUUUUUAGACUUGAUUAUGGAGGGUCUUGUUUUCAUCUUGAUCCAUCAUGACCACAGUGUUCUUGUCUGAUGUUGAUAUUCUAUGAAAUCAUUUAUUUUCAACACUAGAAGAGCAACUCCUAGCAGUGAGUGCUGAGACAACUUGUAGGUGAUAGUAGCAGUAUAGCUUCUUAUGUUAGAGACUGCUUUUCUCUUUCUCAGUGCAUACUGUUUCAUUAACCAACAAUGCAAUCAUUUUUAUACUAUUAUCAUCUCCAUUCUACUGGUGAGAUCAAUGAAAGUCAGAUGGGUCAUGUAACUUGCCCGAGGAUGCUGUGAAAAUAACUGGACCCCGUAUUUGAACAUUAGGCUGUGUGCAUCCCUGAUUCCAGUGGCCACACUGAAUUAAACUAAACUCUCCAUAAAUAUACAUAUGAGAGAAUUAAUAAUUUCAUUCUUCCCUUUUAAGCCAAGUUAUUACCGUAAGACUACAAAUAUUAAAAAGUGUUCUCAGUCAGCCCCAAGUAGUUAGGUGGCUGAGGUGGGAGGAUGGCUUGAGCCCAGAAGUUUUCAAGGCUGCAGUGAGCUAUGAUCACACUACUGCAUGUCAACCUAGGCAACAGAGUGAGACUAUCUCUUUUUUAAAAAAGUGUUCUUGUCUAGAUCCACUGAUGUUGUCCAACAUUUCAAAUUUAGCCCUUUUUUUCCCCUCAUUUCUCCUUCACAAUGUUUUGGUUUAUAAAGUUAUUAUAUUAGUAGUUUUCUCUGUAGUGUUGGUAGGGAUACUGAUUCAAAGUAUGUUAUUCUCAUGCCUUAAGGCCGAAAUACGGAAACCAUGUAAAUGUUUCUAGGCAGAGCCACCCAAAUCCAUAAAUAGGUAAAGCUUCCAACCUUAAAAAAAUAUGAGCAGAGAAGCUUUCUUAACUAAUUCCCGCAACAACGUCUGAGGUGUUUAAGGAUAUAAGGGAUUGGUUCACAACUCCAAUCACAGCAGCUCAACACACAAUAUAGCUUCUCAUGACUUCCUUUUAUAUAGGUUGGCUUUAUCUUUCCAUCUAGAAUUCAAGCACUUUAGGAACAACUCAGAACCAUGCAGCUCCAGAUUCCAUACCUUUAACAUAAAAGAGCAUUGAUAGUUUCACCCAAAAGUUGACUACUUUGAAUCAAAAAAUAAUAUGUUAUUUUACUUUUACAACCAUAUCACAUUUUGACAGAAUUACAUCAUGUGCUAAGCACAUUGCAGAAAGUCUAUAUAUUAUCAGAGAUAAACUACUAGUUUCACAACAUGACUGCAAAUUCUUUGACACUCUUCCACAUGAGAAAUGUGGUAAGCCCCAUCCCUUGGGAUUUGGACAGGCUGAUGACUGCUUUAAACAUUAAAAUAUGGCAGAAAUGAUACAAUGUGACUUCUGAGGUUGCUUCAUUAAAGACCAUGUAGCUUCUUCCUUGUUUGCUGGAAAACUCAUCCCUGAAUCCCUGAGUCACCACAUGGCAAGUCCACUGACUCCAAGAUAAUCCUGAUUGGAGAGAUGCACCAACUCUGACGAGCCCUGAACAUUUGAAUGAAGCUGUCCCGGGCCCUUUGGUCAUUUGCCAUCUUAAAACCAUUGACCAACAUCUGACAGCACCAUGUAGACAGAAGAAUCACUCAACCAAGCCCUGACUGAAUUUCUAACCAACAAAAUCACAGCAUGCAAUAAAAUGGUUAUUGUUUUGUUAUGGUUUCAUAUACAGAAAUAGGUCACUGGAACAAAUACAUUUACCUCUGAAGAAGUGACAGAGGCAAGGAGUUUCACAUGGCCAGAGAAAUCAUUUUUUGUCUAUUAUUUUCUGGUUAAUUAAAAUAAACUUCAGUCUUUUUUGCAAAUGCAGUUCACCAUGAACAGGAAUGUGUGUUUUUUUCCCCCCAAAGAAAUACAAAUGUGUGGAUGUGUUCAGAGGAAAACAGGUAUUCCUUUAAAUUAUUUUAUGUAAAAUAUACCAACUGUUAUUCAUUUAUUCAGUCACUCAAUCAAUAAACCAUUCUUCACUGCAGAGAAUAUAUUUUAAUUUGGGCUUUACUAGGUGCCAGGCACUGUGCUAAGCACUAAGCCUACAAUAGUGAGAAAUGCACAUGAUUUCUCCCCAAGGAUUUUGUAGUUUGGAGGAAAAAUACAAACAUUUGAAGAAUUCUGUUAUUUUCUGGGAGAUACUUACAGUCAUUAUUUUUUAAUCUGUUCAGUCAUGUGUCUUAAUUUCUGGGUUAAAAUGUCAGCAUAGAAACACAUUUAAGUAUCAUGGAUUACAUCAAAUAAUGAACAUGAGAGUGAUUUUAGAUAGCAAGAAGUGAUGUCAGUAGUAAUACCCACAAUUUUCUUGAUCACAAAGAUAUGGUUACAUGAUAAAAAUUGAAUUACCUAAUGUAAAAUUUACUAAGUGUUAGGUUAGUGUCAAUAGGUUUCCCACAUACAUCCAUACUUUGUUUCAUAAACUUUUUGUCAAAUGUGUCCAGUAAUUUUUGAUUUAAAAAAACUCUGAAAACCUUGUCAGUCAAUUGUCACUAAAUCCAUACAUUUUUUGUCUUUGGAACUGGAAAUACGUAAAUUCAAAUGAAAAUCAUAAUUGAUCCCAUUCUUGAAGUUCAGUUUGUAAAAAAUACAUUAGGAAAAUAUGCUUUUUGUCCUAACAAAAUAUAACUCUACAUUUGACUACUAGUUACUAAAACUCUGUAAACCUUAUAACAUUACAAUGAUUUAUCCUAAAUAAUCAAGAUUUCUGCUGAGUGACAAUAACUUUUUAAAUAAGUAAUGUCUCACUGUGAAUGGUUAGAACAUAGGGAUAAAUAGAAGUGUUUACAGAGCCACGAGGGGAUCACAAAUAUAGUAUGAUGAAUGAUGAAACAAAGGUCAACUAGACUGAUAAGAAGGCCAGAAGAGGCAUUGAAGGAAAUCCUAAUGUGAAUCAUUCACAAAUUCUAUGCAGGAUCAUAAUGUGGGACGCGUGAAUUGAUUUGUGGCUACAUAUGCUUACACACUGGUGCUGUGAACCACUAUUUAAAUAAAUGUGCAAACUCAUUCGGCAUGUGGUACAUAAAAUGAUUUCAGAUAAUAGCACAGCAAAAUAUAAAAUUAAAUACUAUAUUGAGAAAGUCAUCUUCCUUUCAAUAAACCUUUCACCCCUUUUGAAUACAUCAAAAAUUUCAGAAGUUUGACCUAAACUUCUAGGACUUGCUGAAUCUAACAGAGAGUAGGUUUACGGUGCAAAGCCCGCAUACAAGAACAUUGCCUUGUUAGAAUAUAAUUGUAUGGUUGCUUUUCCUUUGUAUUUAUUUUUAUAACUAUCUUAAUUUUUUUGUGUGUCAAAUGACACUGAUUUUUUUUUCAUUCGUAAUUAUAGAAAAACAGGCUUUCCAGACUGCAGAAAAACUUCUUCUGAAGACUUAAUGAGACACACAUAGUCACUGCCUGAGCUUUCUGCCCCUGAAUAAAGAUAUCUUCUUAUAGGGUCUGAAUUAGACUUCACAAUGGAAUUCAUCAGCAAAUAUUGGUGUCUACAUCUUUAAAAUGUGUCUGGAUUCUAAUCCUCACGAUUUCAACCACAACCUCCAUUGCCAGAGCCACCAUCAUCUCUCACCUCAAUUAUAGCAACAGCUUCUAACUGCUCUGUCAGUUUCUGCUUCUUCCCAAACAUUCCAUUCUCAAAACAGCAACCAAAGUGUUGCAUUAAAAAUAUCAUUGGAUCAGCAGGGCACAGUGACUCACGCCUGUAAUCCCAGCACUUUGGGAGGCCAAGGAGGGCGGAUCAUGAGGUCAGGAGUUCAAGACCAGCCUGACCAAUAAGGUGAAACCCCGUCUCUACUGAAAAUACAAAAAUUAGCUGGACAUGGUGGCUCACGUCUGUAGUCCCAGCUACUCAGGAGGCUGAGACAGGAGAAUCGCUUGAACCCAGGAGGCAGAGGUUGCAGUGAGCUGAGAUCAUACCACAACACUCCAGCCUGGGUGACAGGCAAAGACUCUGUCUCAAAACAAACAAACAAACAAACAAACAAACAAAGCCAUCCAAUCAUGUAGCUGUCCCAGUUAGAAUCCUCCAACAUCUCACCAUUUUACUCAGAAUGAAAGUUGUUCUGCUUGCAAUGCCAUGUUAAGAUCUGGCUGAUGGUUUUCUACUUGAUCAUCUGUUAUAAAUCUCAUCUUGCACCCAACCCCUGGCUGCUGUAGAGUUGUUCCUUGAACAUCCUUGGCACCAUCUCUUCUCAGAUCCAUUGCAUUUGUUGUUCCUACUGCCUGGGACGCUUUACCCUUAAUACUUUUAAACAGCAUAUCCCUUCCUCUCCUUGCUUAAAUUCAUCUUUUCAAAGAUCCCUGCCCUGACUACUUUUUAAAGAUUACGACACCUCUAUAUCCAUCCUGAACCCACCACCUUGGCAUUUUAGUCCCAAUUAUCUACUUGGCUUCCCUCCCUUGUUCUUACCUCCCUAUAGCUUAAUAUGUAAUAUGUAAUUUUCUUAUGUGAUUUAUUUUCUAUCUUCCAACCAAAGAGAGAAUUUAUUUUUCUUUUACUUUUUUUUUUUUAUUUUUUUUAACUGCUGCAUCCAAACUGCCUUGAUUAGUGCUAGGUACAACAAAUAUAAAUAUUUUUCAAAUCAAUGAAUGAAGAAUACAUGGAUAUUUAUAAACAUCUGAAAAGUAAGGGCAUAGAUUACUAGCGUAAGUUCUCCUGAAAUGGCAACUUAAUCUUCAUGGUUAAAAAUGCAGCAGAACGUUAAGUAUUCAGCUCUGUCAGGUCUGGAGAAAACAUAUCUUUCCAAGGACAAUUUUAGUACUAGCUGAUGCCACCCCUGGAAUCCCAGGAUAAAGGGUGCCUGCCAUGUUGAGAUAAGCUACAUUUAUGCCUGCCAUUUGGGGACACCUCCAUUCUGAAGAGUCUUUGUAUUCUUUUUUUUUUUUUUUUUGAGACGGAGUCUCACUCUGUCUCCCAGGCUGGAGUGCAGUGGCGCGAUCUCGGCUCACUGCAAGCUCUGCCUCCCGGGUUCACGCCAUUCUCGGUCUCAGCCUCCCAAGUAGCUGGGACUACAGGCGCCCGCCACCACGCCCGGCUAAUUUGUUUGUUUGUUUGUUUGUAUUUUUAGUAGAGAUGGGAUUUCACCGUAUUAGCCAGGAUGGUCUCGAUCUCCUGACCUCGUGAUCCACCUGCCUCAGCCUCCCAAAGUGCUGGGAUUACAGGCGUGAGCCACCGGAGUCUUUGUAUUCUUAACUAGUUCUCAAAGCCCAGGUUUUGUUAUUUCUCAUAAAGAAACCAAAAUCCUGUGGUUCAGUCCUGGAUUUACACAGCCCAAAUGACAGGAUACUGAAGCAAGCAAGAGAGAGAAGCUGAUCACUCAUCCACUCCAUCAUCACCAUGCUCUUAAAGCUCUCUGUGUUUUUCAUUUCACAUCGUGUAUCAGUAAAAAUGUGGCAAUGACAAGGUAAUGGAAGGAUGAUUAGCUUUAAUGUACUCCCUUUCAUGUUUGUAGUUAGAGCAAAUAUGAACUAAUUUAUACCCUCAGCUAUUUUUCUUUUCUGUGUAUAUUGUAACAAAUAUGAAAAUUGCUGGUGUAAGUGCAAUCGAUCAAUUGAGAUAAAUGCAAGUCGAGUUCAAUGACUCUUUAACAAAUUUUCAUAAGGCAACCUUUCUUGGUAAAAACUGUUAGUAAUUUUUAUGCCACCAUUAAGACUGUAGAUUCCUGGGAACUCCAGGUUCUGGUAGACAACAUGGAUUUUUUGAUUAAACAAGUGACUCAAAUAGCAGCAAAUCAAAAUAGCAAACAAACAAACAAUUGGGUGGCAUAGAACAAAGAAAUCACAGAGCUUGCAUUUGAUUUUAAAGAUGCAUUUUAGUUUAUAAACAGAACAGUUAGUCAAUAUUUUUGAGGAUUUGGACAAUCAUAAGAUUGUGCAGCCAGUAAGUUCUGAAUAACUCUAAAUGAAAUACACCUACAAAUUAUUCACUAUUCUAUUUGGGGUUUUAUUUCUCCAUGCUCUUUAAAUAGUAUGAAAUGCAAACAGAAUGACUAAUAGAAACUUCAUAAAGUUUAAUAAUAUAUUUAAUAUAUUAACAAUAAAGGUACCAAGUUCAUUUUGAAGGUAUAUGCAAAUAUAAAUUGGCUCAAGGUUUCCACUAAUAGAAAUUAUAUAUAUGUAUAUUUCCCUAAAAAAUCUAAUUUAAGGCAGAUAUAUCGAUAUAGGGCUUUGUUAGAACUCCAUGUUUUGUUAAAGUAAUAAACAUUAAACAACAUUUUGUGAGGUCUCUAAUGUUAACCUUGAAUGAUAGAAUGAUGAGGGCAAGAAUAAGCUAUCAAUAACACAAAGUUUCAUUUGAAAAAUCUCAUAUUUUUAGAUACUAUUUCACUUUGUGAUACGAUGUGUUGGAAUAAAAAAAAGGAUGGAAAGUUUAUUGUCCUUCCAAGAAUAACAGACAUUUAUAUUUUGGAAAGAUGAGUUGUCUUUCAAACUUCACCAAGGAAUUAUAAAGAGUUAUGUCAGAACAUGGCAUGUAAAUUGAGGUGUGUAUCUAAUAUAAAAACCAUUCUACUGAAACUAAUUUCCCAAUGCAACAUUCUAGGAAAUGGUAAUAAAUAUCCUGUUUUGGUUUAGGGAGAAAAUAAG